CGGUAUCUGAAAUUCUAACACAUUUUAUAGUUAAUAUUUGAAAUAUCGGGUAUAAAAGUGAUGAGAGAUAUGGCCGGAUUACACUUAAUACAAACUUAUACCUCUGACAGUGACGAGGAUAGACAGGAAGAAGAAAAAAAGGAAGAUACUGCAAAAAUUAUUAACAAGCUGGCUUUACCUGAAAGUAUCUUAUCGUGGAAAGGCGUCACACAUCAUGAAGAAAUAAUCGAUGAUCCGUUGAAUCAUGACGGACGAAUACGAAGCUUCAAACACGAACGUGGUAAUUGGGCAACGUUGGUUUACAUAAACUAUGCAGCCAGCGAUUGUCUACGUACUUGGUUGAAUUCAGUAUUGAAAGAUCUGCCGGUCAAAGGCGAUGUUAUUUCUAAGCUUCAUAUUAGUCUUAGUCGUACUUUGGUCCUGAAAUACCAUUGGAUUGAAUCAUUUACAGAAAACCUGAAGCUACUAUGUCGUAAAUUCAGUCCAUUUAUUGUACAACUUACCGAUAUCAGAGUAUAUUGUAAUGAAGAGAAAACUCGCACAUUUCUUGGAAUUUAUUGUCAGAAUGAUGAUGGAACUUUAAAGUGUUUAAUAGAGGCUCUUGAUAAUUUAUUAGCUGAAUAUCAACUACCAUUGUAUUAUAAGGAUACUUCAUACCAUAUUAGUUUCUUCUGGUGUCUUGGAGACCAACGAAUAUGCUUGAAGAAAAUCUUGCCAUCUCUCACUCACAGUUUGAAUGUAUUUCUCGCAGAAAAUUCAGAGGAUAAUUAUUUAAACGUCAAUGAGAUACAAUGCAAAAUUGGCAAUAAAUGUUAUGCCUUUGAUCUAAGAUAACAAAGUCUUGUCUGUGUAUUCUGGGCUGACAAGCAAGUUAGAAGCUUGGUGGCCCAGGACGCAUAGUCGAAAUCGAUGAAGCAAAAAUUGGCAAAAGGAAAUACAAUCGUGGUCGACUUUUGCGAGGUCUUUGGAUUUUUGGAAGGUAUAAACGAGACACGAAGAAGAUUUUCAUCAUUCCCAUGCAGGAUCGGACGGUAGAGACACUCUUGGCAUGUGUCAAAGAGUGGAUUUUGCCAGGAACAACUAUUAUAUCAGAUUGUUGGAAGUCUUAUAAUUGCUUAAGCAAUGAAAGCUUCCAACAUCUGACUGUAAACCACUCUUAUAACUUUGUCGAUACUGAAAGUGGUGCACAUACACAACAUAUAGAGUGUGUUUGGAGAGAAGUUCGUGGAAAUAUUCCAAGAUAUGGUACUAGAGAAUAUCAUGCCUUAGGAUAUUUGUGCGAAUUUCUUUUCAAACGCGCCUAUAGCCGCUUGGAACGAAUUGAAAACUUCUUUGAUGUCAUCGCGGAAUAUCCUCCAAUAUCCACUUCCGAGAAUCAGCCAGAAACAUCCGACGAGCCAUGUACCAGCACUACAUAAACACGUUUCUUAUAUACAUAUUUUAGUAACAUUUUCUAUAUACAUUAAUGUUUUUUAUAUUAAUAUUAUUGCCAUAUUUUCGAAACUUAGUUAUAGCUGCCAACACAAUGCUGAAU